rnacentral:misc_RNA from 1 species
AGCAGCCGCGGUAAUUCCAGCUCCAAUAGCGUAUAUUAAAGUUGUUGCAGUUAAAAGCUCGUAGUUGAAUUUCGGGGUUAGUAGGUUGGUCAUGCCUCUGGUAUGUACUGGUCUCACUGAUUCCUCCUUCCUGAUGAACCUUAAUGCCAUUAAUUUGGUGUUUUGGGGAAUUUGGACUGUUACUUUGAAAAAUUAGAGUGUUUAAAGCAAGCUAACGCUUGAAUACAUUAGCAUGGAAUAAUGAAAUAGGACGUUCGAUCCUAUUUUGUUGGUUUCUAGGAUUGACGUAAUGAUUAAUAGGGAUAGUUGGGGGCAUUAGUAUUCAAUUGUCAGAGGUGAAAUUCUUGGAUUUAUUGAAGACUAACUACUGCGAAAGCAUUUGCCAAGGAUGUUUUCAUUAAUCAAGAACGAAAGUUAGGGGAUCGAAGACGAUCAGAUACCGUCGUAGUCUUAACCAUAAACUAUGCCGACUAGGGAUCGGAUGAUGUUAAUUUUUAAUGUACUCAUUCGGCGCCUUACG